rnacentral:rRNA from 1 species
GACAGAGGGUGCUAGCGUUGUUCGGAAUUACUGGGCGUAAAGGGCGCGUAGGCGGCCCGUUUAGUCGGGUGUGAAAUCCCGGGGCUCAACCCCGGAACUGCAUUCGAUACUGGCGGGCUUGAGACCGGAAGAGGUGGGUGGAAUACCCAGUGUAGAGGUGAAAUUCGUAGAUAUUGGGAGGAACACCAGUGGCGAAGGCGGCUCACUGGACCGGAACUGACGCUGAGGCGCGAAAGCGUGGGGAGCAAACGGG